CUGCAACGAGCGCAACCCCUGUCACUAGUUGCUAGCAUUAAGUUGAGGACUCUAGUGAGACUGCCUACGCAAGUAGAGAGGAAGGUGGGGAUGACGUCAAAUCAUCACGGCCCUUACGUCUUGGGCCACACACGUAAUACAAUGGCCGGUACAGAGGGCAGCUACACAGCGAUGUGAUGCAAAUCUCGAAAGCCGGUCUCAGUUCGGAUUGGAGUCUGCAACUCGACUCUAUGAAGCUGGAAUCGCUAGUAAUCGCGCAUCAGCCAUGGCGCGGUGAAUACGUUCCCGGGCCUUGUACACAC
rnacentral:rRNA from 1 species